rnacentral:misc_RNA from 1 species
UCCGGUUUAGACCGGCAGUCCCCUAUGAGUCCCCGGCCGAACCGCUGGCAACAUAGGGCAAGGGUUGCGCUCGUUGCGGGACUUAACCCAACAUCUCACGACACGAGCUGACGACAGCCAUGCAGCACCUGUACAUACGUCCCGAAGGAGGCUCCCUGUUUCCAGGGAGUUUCAUAUGUAUGUCAAGCCCAGGUAAGGUUUUUCGCGUUGCAUCGAAUUAAUCCACAUAAUCCACCGCUUGUGCGGGUCCCCGUCAAUUCCUUUGAGUUUUAGCCUUGCGGCCGUACUCCCCAGGCGGUCAACUUCACGCGUUAGCUUCGUUACCAAGGAAUUACUUCCCCGACAACCAGUUGACAUCGUUUAGGGCGUGGACUAC